GACGAACGCUGGCGGCGUGCCUAAUACAUGCAAGUCGAACGCAGUGGGGACGGGUGAGUAACACGUGGGUAACCGCCCAUCAGAGGGGAUAACACUUGGAUACAGGUGCUAAACCGAUACUGAUGGAUGGACCCGGGGUGCAUUAGCUUGUGGGUGAGGUAACGGCUCACCAGGGCGACGAUGCAUAGCCGGCCUGAGAGGGGGAACGGCCACACUAAGACUGAGACACGGCCCAGAGUCCUACGGAGGGCAGCAGUAGGGAAUAGUGUGAAAUGGACGAAAGUCUGACCGAGCAACGCCGCGUGAGUGAAGAAGGUUUUAGGAUCGUAAAACUCUGUUGUCAGAGAAGCGGUAUCUAACCAGAAAGCAACGGCUAACUACGAGCCAGAAGCCGCGGUAAUUC
rnacentral:rRNA from 1 species